CCGAGUUUACAACUCCCAAACCCCUGUGAACAUACCUAUCGUUGCUUCGGCGGAUCCGCCCCGGUGCCUUCGGGCCCGGACUCAGGCGCCCGCCGGGGGACCCAAACUCUUGUAUUUCUUACUUUGCAUGUCUGAGUGGAAUCAUAAACAAAUGAAUCA
rnacentral:misc_RNA from 1 species